rnacentral:rRNA from 1 species
UUAAGUGAAUAAGGGCGCACGGUGGAUGCCUUGGCACUAGGAGCCGAUGAAGGACGGGACUAACACCGAUAUGCUUUGGGGAGCUGUAAGUAAGCUAUGAUCCAGAGAUUUCCGAAUGGGGGAACCCAAUAUCUUUUAUAGGAUAUUACUUUUCAGUGAAUACAUAGCUGAUUAGAGGUAGACGCAGAGAACUGAAACAUCUUAGUACCUGCAGGAAGAGAAAGAAAAUUCGAUUCCCUGAGUAGCGGCGAGCGAAACGGGAAGAGCCCAAACCAACAAGCUUGCUUGUUGGGGUUGUAGGACUCCAAUAUGGUAGUCUGUUAGUAUAGUUGAAGGAUUUGGAAAAUUCCGCUAAAGAGGGUGAAAGCCCCGUAGACGAAAUGCUGACAACACCUAGGAGGAUCCUGAGUACGGCGGAACACGAGAAAUUCCGUCGGAAUCCGCGGGGACCAUCCCGCAAGGCUAAAUACUCCCUAGUGACCGAUAGUGAACCAGUACCGUGAGGGAAAGGUGAAAAGCACCCCGGAAGGGGAGUGAAAUAGAUCCUGAAACCGUGUGCCUACAACAAGUCAAAGCUCGUUAAUGAGUGAUGGCGUGCCUUUUGUAGAAUGAACCGGCGAGUUACGAUUGCAUGCGAGGUUAAGUCGAAGAGACGGAGCCGCAGCGAAAGCGAGUCUGAAUAGGGCGAAUGAGUAUGUAGUCGUAGACCCGAAACCAUGUGAUCUACCCAUGUCCAGGUUGAAGGUGCGGUAAAACGCACUGGAGGACCGAACCCACGUACGUUGAAAAGUGCGGGGAUGAGGUGUGGGUAGCGGAGAAAUUCCAAACGAACUUGGAGAUAGCUGGUUCUCUCCGAAAUAGCUUUAGGGCUAGCCUCGGAAUUGAGAAUGAUGGAGGUAGAGCACUGUUUGGACUAGGGGCCCAUCUCGGGUUACCGAAUUCAGAUAAACUCCGAAUGCCAUUCAUUUAUAUCCGGGAGUCAGACUGCGAGUGAUAAGAUCCGUAGUCGAAAGGGAAACAGCCCAGACCACCAGCUAAGGUCCCAAAAUAUAUGUUAAGUGGAAAAGGAUGUGGGGUUGCACAGACAACUAGGAUGUUGGCUUAGAAGCAGCCACCAUUUAAAGAGUGCGUAAUAGCUCACUAGUCGAGUGACCCUGCGCCGAAAAUGUACCGGGGCUAAACAUAUUACCGAAGCUGUGGACUACACCAUUAGGUGUAGUGGUAGGAGAGCGUUCUAAGGGCGUUGAAGGUCGAUCGUGAGGACGGCUGGAGCGCUUAGAAGUGAGAAUGCCGGUAUGAGUAGCGAAAGACAGGUGAGAAUCCUGUCCACCGUAUGACUAAGGUUUCCUGGGGAAGGCUCGUCCGCCCAGGGUUAGUCGGGACCUAAGCCGAGGCCGAUAGGCGUAGGCGAUGGACAACAGGUUGAUAUUCCUGUACCAGUUGUUUUUGUUUGAGCAAUGGAGGGACGCAGUAGGCUAAGGAAUGCAUGCGAUUGGAAGUGCAUGUCCAAGCAAUGAGUCUUGAGUAGAGUUAAAUGCUUUACUCUCUAAGGACAAGUUGUGACGGGGAGCGAAAUAAUAGUAGCGAAGUUCCUGAUGUCACACUGCCAAGAAAAGCUUCUAGUGAGAAAACAACUGCCCGUACCGUAAACCGACACAGGUAGUCGAGGAGAGUAUCCUAAGGUGAGCGAGCGAACUCUCGUUAAGGAACUCGGCAAAAUGACCCCGUAACUUCGGGAGAAGGGGUGCUGACUUCGGUCAGCCGCAGUGAAUAGGCCCAAGCGACUGUUUAUCAAAAACACAGGUCUCUGCAAAAUCGUAAGAUGAAGUAUAGGGGCUGACGCCUGCCCGGUGCUGGAAGGUUAAGAGGAUGGGUUAGCUUCGGCGAAGCUCAGAAUUGAAGCCCCAGUAAACGGCGGCCGUAACUAUAACGGUCCUAAGGUAGCGAAAUUCCUUGUCGGGUAAGUUCCGACCCGCACGAAAGGCGUAACGAUUUGGGCACUGUCUCAACGAGAGACUCGGUGAAAUUUUAGUACCUGUGAAGAUGCAGGUUACCCGCGACAGGACGGAAAGACCCCAUGGAGCUUUACUGUAGUUUGAUAUUGAGUGUUUGUACCACAUGUACAGGAUAGGUAGGAGCCGAUGAGACCGGAACGCUAGUUUCGGAGGAGGCGCUGGUGGGAUACUACCCUUGUGUUAUGAA